rnacentral:rRNA from 1 species
UUAAGUGACUAAGCGUACAAGGUGGAUGCCUUGGCAAUCAGAGGCGACGAAGGACGUGCUAAUCUGCGAAAAGCUUGGAUGAGUCGAUAAGAGGCGUUUAAUCCAAGAUGUCCGAAUGGGGAAACCCAGUAGAUGAAGAAUCUACUAUCACUUACUGAAUCCAUAGGUAAGUGAGGCAAACCGGGAGAACUGAAACAUCUAAGUACCCCGAGGAAAAGAAAUCAACCGAGAUUUCGUUAGUAGCGGCGAGCGAACGCGAAGGAGCCUGUUAGUGAUAAUGACAGAGACAGAGGAACAAGCUGGGAAGCUUGGCGAUACAGGGUGAUAGCCCCGUACUCGAAGUCCAGGUCAUGGUACUAAGCUAACGACAAGUAGGGCGGGACACGUGAUAUCCUGUUUGAAGAUGGGGGGACCAUCCUCCAAGGCUAAAUACUCCUGAUUGACCGAUAGUGAACCAGUACUGUGAAGGAAAGGCGAAAAGAACCCCGGUGAGGGGAGUGAAAUAGAACCUGAAACCUUGUACGUACAAGCAGUGGGAGCCCUUUAAGGGUGACUGCGUACCUUUUGUAUAAUGGGUCAGCGACUUAUAUUUUGUAGCGAGGUUAACCGAAUAGGGGAGCCGAAGGGAAACCGAGUCUUAACUGGGCGUCUAGUUGCAAGGUAUAGACCCGAAACCCGGUGAUCUAGCCAUGGGCAGGUUGAAGGUUGGGUAACACUAACUGGAGGACCGAACCGACUAAUGUUGAAAAAUUAGCGGAUGACUUGUGGCUGGGGGUGAAAGGCCAAUCAAACCGGGAGAUAGCUGGUUCUCCCCGAAAGCUAUUUAGGUAGCGCCUCGUGAACUCAUCUCCGGGGGUAGAGCACUGUUUCGGCAAGGGGGUCAUCCCGACUUACCAACCCGAUGCAAACUGCGAAUACCGGAGAAUGUUAUCACGGGAGACACACGGCGGGUGCUAACGUCCGUCGUGAAGAGGGAAACAACCCAGACCGCCAGCUAAGGUCCCAAAGUCAUGGUUAAGUGGGAAACGAUGUGGGAAGGCCCAGACAGCCAGGAUGUUGGCUUAGAAGCAGCCAUCAUUUAAAGAAAGCGUAAUAGCUCACUGGUCGAGUCGGCCUGCGCGGAAGAUGUAACGGGGCUAAACCAUGCACCGAAGCUGCGGCAGCGACACUAUGUGUUGUUGGGUAGGGGAGCGUUCUGUAAGCCUGUGAAGGUGUACUGUGAGGUAUGCUGGAGGUAUCAGAAGUGCGAAUGCUGACAUAAGUAACGAUAAAGCGGGUGAAAAGCCCGCUCGCCGGAAGACCAAGGGUUCCUGUCCAACGUUAAUCGGGGCAGGGUGAGUCGACCCCUAAGGCGAGGCCGAAAGGCGUAGUCGAUGGGAAACAGGUUAAUAUUCCUGUACUUGGUGUUACUGCGAAGGGGGGACGGAGAAGGCUAUGUUGGCCGGGCGACGGUUGUCCCGGUUUAAGCGUGUAGGCUGGUUUUCCAGGCAAAUCCGGAAAAUCAAGGCUGAGGCGUGAUGACGAGGCACUACGGUGCUGAAGCAACAAAUGCCCUGCUUCCAGGAAAAGCCUCUAAGCAUCAGGUAACAUCAAAUCGUACCCCAAACCGACACAGGUGGUCAGGUAGAGAAUACCAAGGCGCUUGAGAGAACUCGGGUGAAGGAACUAGGCAAAAUGGUGCCGUAACUUCGGGAGAAGGCACGCUGAUAUGUAGGUGAAGUCCCUCGCGGAUGGAGCUGAAAUCAGUCGAAGAUACCAGCUGGCUGCAACUGUUUAUUAAAAACACAGCACUGUGCAAACACGAAAGUGGACGUAUACGGUGUGACGCCUGCCCGGUGCCGGAAGGUUAAUUGAUGGGGUUAGCGGUAACGCGAAGCUCUUGAUCGAAGCCCCGGUAAACGGCGGCCGUAACUAUAACGGUCCUAAGGUAGCGAAAUUCCUUGUCGGGUAAGUUCCGACCUGCACGAAUGGCGUAACGAUCUCCACACUGUCUCGGCCAGAGACUCGGUGAAAUUGAAGUCGCGGUGAAAAUGCCGUGUACCCGCAGAAAGACGGAAAGACCCUGUGCACCUUUACUAUAGCUUGACAUUGGGAUUUGAGCCUGCAUGUGUAGCAUAGGUGGGAGGCUGUGAACUCUGUACGCCAGUAUGGAGGGAGCCAUCGUUGAAAUACCACCCUUGUUUGUUCAGGUCCCUAACUCUUCGCCGUGAUCCGGUAAGAGGACAGUGUCUGGUGGGUAGUUUGACUGGGGCGGUCGCCUCCCAAAAUGUAACGGAGGCAUGCAAAGGUUCCCUCAGGCUGAUUGGAAACCAGCCGUCGAGUGCAAACGCAAAAGGGAGCUUGACUGCAAGAGAGACAUCUCGAGCAGGUACGAAAGUAGGUGUUAGUGAUCCGGUGAUCCCGAAUGGAAGGGUCAUCGCUCAUUGGAUAAAAGGUACGCCGGGGAUAACAGGCUGAUCGCAUCCAAGAGUUCACAUCGACGAUGCGGUUUGGCACCUCGAUGUCGGCUCAUCACAUCCUGGGGCUGAAGCAGGUCCCAAGGGUACGGCUGUUCGCCGUUUAAAGUGGUACGCGAGCUGGGUUUAAAACGUCGUGAGACAGUUUGGUCCCUAUCUUCUGUGGGCGUAGGAGAAUUGAAAGGGCCUGUCCCUAGUACGAGAGGACCGGGAUGGACACACCACUGGUGGACCUGUUGUCGUGCCAACGGCACAGCAGGGUAGCUAUGUGUGGAAGGGAUAACCGCUGAAAGCAUCUAAGCGGGAAGCCUGCCUUAAGAUAAGUUCUCCCUGACGCAAGUCCUGAAGGGCCGAGGUAGACGACCUCGUUGAUAGGCUGGAGGUGGAAGCCCUGUGAGGGGUGGAGCUGACCAGUACUAAUAGCCCGUGCGUCUUGUUUCU